rnacentral:rRNA from 1 species
CCUACGGGAGGCAGCAGUGAGGAAUAUUGGUCAAUGGGCUUACGCCUGAACCAGCCAAGUCGCGUGAGGGAAGACUGCCCUAUGGGUUGUAAACCUCUUUUGUCAGGGAGCAAUUUGCGCUACGUGUAGCGUUAUCGAGAGUACCUGAAGAAAAAGCAUCGGCUAACUCCGUGCCAGCAGCCGCGGUAAUACGGAGGAUGCGAGCGUUAUCCGGAUUUAUUGGGUUUAAAGGGUGCGUAGGCGGAAUGCCAAGUCAGCGGUAAAAUCGCGGGGCUCAACCUCGCUCCGCCGUUGAAACUGGCGGUCUUGAGUGGGCGAGAAGUAUGCGGAAUGCGUGGUGUAGCGGUGAAAUGCAUAGAUAUCACGCAGAACUCCUAUUGCGAAGGCAGCAUACCGGGGCCCAACUGACGCUGAAGCACGAAAGCGUGGGUAUCGAACAGGAUUAGAUACCCGAGUAGUC